AGGAGGUCGCCACACGUGUGGUCUCGGGAGGGGAGGGGGAGCGGCCAGCCACCAUGGGGCUUCCUCCUCAAAGAACAGCCUCUGAGGCACUGGCAGGAGCUGGGGGGCUCCCAGCCCCACGGCCACCCCCGCCACUGAAAAAAGCUCUGAGGGAAAACUGGCUCAAAAUAUAAGCCUCUCAGAGAGGAGAGAGACACUGCUGUGAGGGGUGACAGGACCCUCUUGCUGUGGAAACCUUUUAAGAAAAUUUUACCUAUAUAUGUAUAUUUAAAGUCCCUGAGGGGGAACAAGAGUUUCUCAGUGGGAAGCUGCUUAGGAUUCCCCUUGCCAACAAAAAGGAAUAAAGGUCUCUGAGGGGAAACCCCUUGCCAAAUUAUAUUAUAUCUAUCUAUCUAUAUCUGUGGGGAGACAAGAGUUUCUCAGUAGGAAGCUCACCUCUCUGCUUUGGCUUCAGCUUGCCAAAAAAAGGAGGGGAAAGCCCUCUCUAAGGGGAAAGGGAGGAUUCAAAGUGUGGAGUGUAUCUCUUUGCUUUGGCUUCAUCUGCCAAAAAAUAAAAGUCUCUGAGGGAAACAGUUUCUCAAUGGGGAGUUCACCUCUCUGCUUUAGCUUCAUUUUGCCAAAAAAAGAAAGAAAGGGAGGGAGCGGGGAGUCUCUCAGGCGACUUUCCUUCUCUUUUGUUAAAAAAUUAUCUGAGGAAAAGGCAAUCUCCAAGACAGUGCAAAAAAGGGCUAUGAUUUUCUGAGGAAAGGCUGUCUCUCAGACAGUCAAGGGCUACAGGCCCAGCCUCAGGACAAGUCCCUUUUCCACAGGAAAAGGAGGAAGCCACUUGAGGAAUGCUAUGCUGCCAGGACAAGGCUUUUUAAAAGAAUAGUUUCUGGGAGAAUGGCAGGAAUAGGGGUUUCAAGCCUGCCAACUUGGCCUUUACCUCUGUCUCACCUAAGAAGUGUCUGAGCCUGAGGGGGAACAGGGUCUAUAAGGGAGGCAUUCAUCUCUGCUUUGAUUUCAACUUGCAAAAAAAGAAAGAAGAAGAAGAAGAAGAAGUUUGAGAGGAAACAGAGUUUCUAAGUGGGGAGUUAAUUUCUCUACUUGGGCUACAUCCUGCCAAAAAAGGGUUUCUGAGGAGAACAUAGAGUUUCUAAGGGGGGGAUUCAUCUCCCUGCUUUGGCUUCAUCCUGCCAAAACAACUCUGAGGAUGCUGCAGCCGUGCUGGCGUGAACAAAAGCCCUGCCACCUCACUGCCCACAUUUACAGCAUUUUGUCUGCCGAGGGCAAAGCGCAGCAGAUUCAUCCUCCUGUCCUCAGAAGGCUGGGGCGCCACAGUCUUCUGCAUUACAGCAAAAAUCUGCCCACUAUUAAAGCGUUCUUUCUCUCUGCAUACAAAUGUUAUAAAUAUGCACAGCGUAGGGCAGGACUUCUGAGCACAAUGGCACCAGGGCUGUGGCAGAAAACUAUGAGGUCAGGGGCUGUGUAAAUACAGACGGGCUGGCUCUAAUAUUGGAAAAAUCUGUUGUUUUAGGAACUGUCAGUAGAAGCUUCAGGCUUCUUUAUCCCCACCAAGAGCUUUUUGGGGCAGCAUAAUUUCUAAGAUAGUGGCUGAUGGAUUGGGACAUGCUUCAUGUGUGUUAGAAGCCUCAGGCUUCUGGCAGCAUAAUCUCUAAAAGGGUGGCUAGCUUGAAUGGAACACUCUUCAUGAGUGUUCCAUUCUGACUCCAAGGAAGAAACAGAAUUGGCACACCAUUCGCAAGGACCUCCAUGCCUGAACAUUGAUGUUGGAACAUUUUCUCCUGCCAAGUGGCCUCUGUGGCAGAUUUCAAGAAAGCACUAAAGAAGUCUUAAGAAUGAAUUAAAGGAAGCAACGACGCACGACAGAUGCCAAACCAAGGGCUGCAUAACUCAAUCACAACGCACUGUGAAUUAUUUCCAAAAGAAGCCCAAGCCUUCUUUAUUCUCCUGCCAGCUUUGUCAGGCAUCAUAAUCUCUCAAAUGGUCCCUGUCCUGAAUGCAACAUGCUUCAUGCGUGUUAGAGGAGCUUCAGGCUUCUGUAGUUUCUCAAUGGCUGUGGGAGGCAGCAUCAUGCCUAAGAUGGUGGCUUUUCUUGAAAGGAACAUGCUUCAUGCAUGUUAGGAGCUUCAUGCUUCUGUAUUUUCUCAAUGGCUGCGGGAGGCAGCACCAUCCUUGGCUGUCUUGAAUGGAAUAUUCUUCAUGCAUGUUCCAUUCUGCCCUCUGAAGAAUGGUUGGCAAGAAGGAACAGAAUUGGUGCAAUGUUCAAUGCCUGAACUUUGAUGUUGGGACGUUUUCUCCACCCAAGUGGCCUGUGCAGCCGAUUUCAAGAAAGAACGAAAGGAAGCAACAAUGCACGACAGAAGCCAAACCAGGGGCUCCAUUGAAAGAUGGCCCCUGUCCUGAAUGGAACAUGCUUCACGCAUGUUAGGAGCUUCAUGCUUCUGUAGUUUCUCAAUGCCUGUGGGAGGCAGCAUCAUCUCUAAGAUGGUGGCUCUCUUGAAUGGAACAUGCUUCACGCAUGUUAGGAGCUUGAUGCUUCUGUAGUUUCUCAAUGCCUGUGGGAGGCAGCAUCAUCUCUAAGAUGGUGGCUGUCCGGAAUGGGACAUGCUUCACCCAUGUUAGGAGCUUCAUGCUUCUGUAGUUUCUCAAUGCCUGUGGGAGGCAGCAUCAUCUCUAAGAUGGUGGCUCUCUUGAAUGGAACAUGCUUCACGCAUGUUAGGAGCUUGAUGCUUCUGUAGUUUCUCAAUGCCUGUG